rnacentral:rRNA from 1 species
GACGAACGCUGGCGGCGUGCCUAAUACAUGCAAGUAGAACGCUGAAGGAGGAGCUUGCUCUUCUGGAUGAGUUGCGAACGGGUGAGUAACGCGUAGGUAACCUGCCUGGUAGCGGGGGAUAACUAUUGGAAACGAUAGCUAAUACCGCAUAACAGUAGAUGUUGCAUGACAUUUGCUUAAAAGGUGCAAUUGCAUCACUACCAGAUGGACCUGCGUUGUAUUAGCUAGUUGGUGGGGUAACGGCUCACCAAGGCGACGAUACAUAGCCGACCUGAGAGGGUGAUCGGCCACACUGGGACUGAGACACGGCCCAGACUCCUACGGGAGGCAGCAGUAGGGAAUCUUCGGCAAUGGACGGAAGUUUGACCGAGCAACGCCGCGUGAGUGAAGAAGGUUUUCGGAUCGUAAAGCUCUGUUGUAAGAGAAGAACGAGUGUGAGAGUGGAAAGUUCACACUGUGACGGUAUCUUACCAGAAAGGGACGGCUAACUACGUG